AACGAACGCGGGCGGCAUGCCUAACACAUGCAAGUCGAACGAGACCUUCGGGUCUAGUGGCGCACGGGUGCGUAACGCGUGGGAACCUGCCCUUAGGUUCGGAAUAACUCCCCGAAAGGGGUGCUAAUACCGGAUAAUGUCUUCGGACCAAAGAUUUAUCGCCUUUGGAUGGGCCCGCGUUGGAUUAGCUAGUUGGUAGGGUAAAAGCCUACCAAGGCGACGAUCCAUAGCUGGUCUGAGAGGAUGAUCAGCCACACUGGGACUGAGACACGGCCCAGACUCCUACGGGAGGCAGCAGUGGGGAAUAUUGGACAAUGGGCGAAAGCCUGAUCCAGCAAUGCCGCGUGAGUGAUGAAGGCCUUAGGGUUGUAAAGCUCUUUUAACCGGGAUGAUAAUGACAGUACCGGGAGAAUAAGCUCCGGCUAACUCCGUG
rnacentral:rRNA from 1 species